AUAAAUAACAAUACAGGGCCCACAGGGUCUUGUAAUUGGAAUGAGUACAAUUUAAAUCUCUUAACGAGGAACAACUAGAGGGCAAGUCUGGUGCCAGCAGCCGCGGUAAUUCCAGCUCUAGUAGCGUAUAUUAAAGUUGUUGCAGUUAAAAAGCUCGUAGUUGAUUGUGAAGUGCUUGAUGCAUGGUGCGCCUAACAGUGUCACUGUGUGUCAGUGCUUGAUAUUGGGUGGCAGCAGGUGAUCUUUACUGGUUGCUUGUGUGUGCCCAGCGUUUACUGUGAAAAAAUUAGAGUGUUUAAAGCAGGCAUGGUAGGCUUGAAUACAUUAGCAUGGAAUAACUGAAUAGGCUCUGAGGGCUAUUUUGUUGGUUUUGGGUGGCUCAGAGAAUGAUUAAGAGGAACAGUUGGGGGCAUUAGUAUUCAAUAGUCAGAGGUGAAAUUCUUGGAUUUAUUGAAGACUAACUACUGCGAAAGCAUCUGCCAAGGAUGUUUUCAUUAAUCAAGAACAAAAGUUAGGGGAUCGAAGACGAUUAGAUACCGUCGUAGUCUUAACCAUAAACUAUGUCGACUCAGAGUUGUUGCUCAGUGCUUGAUGCUGGCAGCAGUGCUGUGUGGGAAACCAAAGUGUUUGGAUUCCGGGGGGAGUACAUUCGCAAGGAUGAAACUUAAAAGAAUUGACGGAAGGGCACCACCAGGAGUGGAUUAUGCGGCUUAAUUUGACUCAACACGGGGAAACUUACCAGGUCAGAACACAGUGAGGAUUGACAGAUUGAGAGCUCUUUCUUGAUUCUAUGGGUGGUGGUGCAUGGCCGUUCUUAGUUGGUGGAGUGAUUUGUCUGGUUAAUUCCGAUAACGAACGAGACCUUAACCUGCUAACUAGAGCAUGGAAGUCUUGUGCUUCCAUAGUGCAGCUCUUCUUAGAGGGACUGUCAGUGUCUAACUGAUGGAGGUUUGAGGCAAUAACAGGUCUGUGAUGCCCUUAGAUGUUCUGGGCCGCACGCGUGAUACACUGAUGCAGUCAGCGAGUUGCUAGCCUUGUCUGAGAGGACUGGGUAAUCUUGUGAAACUGUAUCGUGCUGGGGAUAGACCCUUGUAAUUAUUGGUCUUGAACGAGGAAUUCCUAGUAAGUGCAAGUCAUCAGCUUGCGCUGAUUACGUCCCUGCCCUUUGUACACACCGCCCGUCGCUAGUACCGAUUGAAUGGCUUAGUGAGGC
rnacentral:rRNA from 1 species